UACGGACACAUCACGUUGAAUCAUCGGGUUCCGUACGAUCGCUGAAUUUAAGAAAGCUCGUGUCUGGUCAGUACUUAGAUGGGUGACCGCUUGGGAAUACCAGGUGCUGUAAG